UACGGAGGGUGCAAGCGUUUAUCCGGAUUCACUGGGUUUAAAGGGGUGCGUAGGCGGUCCGAUAAGUCAGUGGUGAAAGCCCGCAGCUCAACUGCGGAAUUGCCAUUGAAACUGCCGGACUUGAUCCGGUUGAAGUGGGCGGAAUAUAUCAUGUAGCGGUGAAAUGCUUAGAUAUGACAUAGAACACCAAUUGCGAAGGCAGCUGGCUACAGGGGAUAUUGACACUGAGGCACGAAAGCGUGGGGAUCAAACAGG
rnacentral:rRNA from 1 species